rnacentral:rRNA from 1 species
ACUGGGCUUAAAGAGUUCGUAGGUGGUUGAAAAAGUUGGUGGUGAAAUCCCAGAGCUUAACUCUGGAACUGCCAUCAAAACUUUUCAGCUAGAGUAUGAUAGAGGAAAGCAGAAUUUCUAGUGUAGAGGUGAAAUUCGUAGAUAUUAGAAAGAAUACCAAUUGCGAAGGCAGCUUUCUGGAUCAUUACUGACACUGAGGAACGAAAGCAUGGGUAGCGAAGAGGAUUAGAUACCCUCGUAGUCCAUGCCGUAAACGAUGUGUGUUAGACGUUGGAAAUUUAUUUUCAGUGUCGCAGCGAAAGCGAUAAACACACCGCCUGGGGAGUACGACCGCAAGGUUAAAACUCAAAUGAAUUGACGGGGACCCGCACAAGUAGUGGAGCAUGUGGUUUAAUUCGAAGAUACGCGCAGAACCUUACCAACACUUGACAUGUUCGUCGCGACUCUAAGAGAUUAGAGUUUUCGGUUCGGCCGGACGAAACACAGGUGCUGCAUGGCUGUCGUCAGCUCGUGUCGUGAGAUGUUGGGUUAAGUCCCGCAACGAGCGCAACCCUCACUUUUAGUUGCCAUCAUUUAGUUGGGCACUCUGAAAGAACUGCCAGUGAUAAGCUGGAGGAAGGUGGGGAUGACGUCAAGUCCUCAUGGCCCUUACGUGUUGGGCUACACACGUGCUACAAUGGCAUCUACAACAGGAAGCAAAACGGCAACGUUAAGCAAAUCCCGAAAAGAUGCCUCAGUUCGGAUUGCACUCUGCAACUCGAGUGCAUGAAGCUGGAAUUACUAGUAAUCGUGGAUCAGCGUGCCACGGUGAAUGCGUUCCCGGGUCUUGUACACACCGCCCGUCACACCAUGGGAGUUGGUUCUACCUUAAGGCAAGGUUUUAAACCCUUGACCACGGUAUAGUCAGCGACUGGGGUGAAGUCGUAACAAGGUAACCAAGGGC